rnacentral:lncRNA from 1 species
CAGAAAGCAGCUGUGUGAUGAUGAUGAUGAUGAUGAAUGUGAUGAAGAGGUGAACUCUGAGAGGAUUGAGACGAACUUGAGUUUUUUGUUUGAAUGAGUGUUAAUCGUUUUUCAUUUAUUUCUGAAUGUUGAUAAUCGUUGUCAACAGCAGUAGAUGUCUGCCAGAUGUUGGAUACAUGGAGCUUUUAUGAAGCCUUAUGAAGUCUUUAUGAAGCCUUAAAGAAGUCUUUAUGAAGCCUUAUGAAGUCUUUAUGAAGCCUUAAGAAGUCUUUAUGAAGCCUUAAAGAAUAUUUUUGAAGCCUUAAGAAGUCUUUAUGAAGCCUUAAAGAAGUCUUUAUGAAGCCUUAAAGAAGUCUUCAUGAAGCCUUAAAGAAGUCUUUAUGAAGCCUUAAAGAAUCUUUAUGAAGCCUUAAAGAAGUCUUUAUGAAGCCUUAAAGUAGUCUUUACGAAGCCUUAAAGAAGUCUUUAUGAAGCCUUAAAGAAGUCUUUAUGAAGCCUUAAGAAGUCUUUAUGAAGCGUUAUGAAGAACGGGAUCAGAGAUCCUUGAUAUCCCUGUGUCAAAUCAUCCGAUACCUCACACAUCCAAAUUAGAGGCUUCUUCUGUUCCUCUGUCUUCUGAUGUUGGAGCUCAUUGACAAUUCAAAUCUCAGGUCUUAUUUGAGCAGCAAGAAAAGAUGCUUGAACAACUGAACAGUUCCCGAACG